AUUGAACGCUGGCGGCAGGCUUAACACAUGCAAGUCGAACGAGUGGCGGACGGGUGAGUAAUGCUUGGGAAACUAGCUUAUGGAGGGGGAUAACUACUGGAAACUGUAGCUAAUACCGCGUACCAUAGGAUGAGCCCAAGUGGGCUUAGGUAGUUGGUGAGGUAAAGGCGCACCAAGACGACGAGCUCUAGCUGGUCUGAGAGGAUGACCAGCCACACUGGGACUGAGAAACGGGCCAGACUCCUACGGGAGGCAGCAGUGGGGAAGAUUGCACAAUGGGCGCAAGGCUGAUGCAGCAAUGCCGCGUGAAGGAAGAAGGCGUUAGGGGGGUAAAGUACUUUCAUCGGGGAGGCGGUACCCGCAGAGGAAGCCCCGGCUAACUCCGUGCCAGCAGCCGCGGUAAUUC
rnacentral:rRNA from 1 species